rnacentral:rRNA from 1 species
AGUGGCGGACGGGUGAGUAACGCGUGAGAAUCUGCCUUGGGGUCGGGGACAACCACUGGAAACGGCGGCUAAUACCGGAUAAGCCGAUUGGUGAAAGAUUUAUUGCCCGAAGAGGAGCUCGCGUCUGAUUAGCUAGUUGGUGAGGUAAGAGCUCACCAAGGCAGCGAUCAGUAGCUGGUCUGAGAGGACGAUCAGCCACACUGGGACUGAGACACGGCCCAGACUCCUACGGGAGGCAGCAGUGGGGAAUUUUCCGCAAUGGGCGAAAGCCUGACGGAGCAAGACCGCGUGAGGGAGGAAGGCUCUUGGGUUGUAAACCUCUUUUCUCAGGGAAGAAGCUCUGACGGUACCUGAGGAAUCAGCCUCGGCUAACUCCGUGCCAGCAGCCGCGGUAAUACGGAGGAGGCAAGCGUUAUCCGGAAUUAUUGGGCGUAAAGCGUCCGCAGGUGGCGAUUCAAGUCUGCUGUCAAAGCACGGGGCUUAACUCCGUAAAGGCAGUGGAAACUGAAUAGCUAGAGUGCCGUAGGGGUAGAGGGAAUUCCCGGUGUAGCGGUGAAAUGCGUAGAGAUCGGGAAGAACAUCGGUGGCGAAAGCGCUCUACUGGACGGCAACUGACACUCAGGGACGAAAGCUAGGGGAGCGAAUGGGAUUAGAUACCCC